GUUGUCAUGACAGUUAAAGUUAAAGUGGAAUCCUAACUAUAUAUUUAUGUAGCAUGAAAAUACCCAUAUCUCAUCUUCAUGAAGACUUCUGAUGGUGGCACCUGUGAUUAAUCAAUUCACAUACAUUUCUCUUGAGUAUAUUUUGGAAAAUGCUAGGCAGUUUUUUUAGAUAAAUGAUAUCAAUCUGCUCUAAGUCUUUCAGAAGUGUGACCCCCGUGCAAGAAGAGCAGCGUGCCCAAGAUCACAUCAGGCAGUCUACACAUCUGUAGAGUGCCCAUAACAUAAACACCUUGCUGGUUACUAAGGAGUAGAACCCUUGGAUAAAACAGAAGAUUCAUAUUGACCCUCAUAGAAAUGUAGGCUAUCUAUUGAGGACUGCUUAUGAAAGAACAGAACUUACGAUAUGUGAAAUUCAUGUUUACAAUACUUAUUUUAAAGAUCAUGCCAGUGCCCUGUCUGUACAGCAGACCUGCCCAAAUUUAACCCAGUCUUGCAUUUGCAGUUGCCCCUAAGUUGCAGGAUACUCCACAAUUUCUAGCAAAGUCUGGAAUAUCCUCCAACUUUGACCAAAGCAAGGCAAAGUUCAUUUAAUCCUCAAAAGAACCACAAUACAUUGGUGAACAUCAUGGGAACUGGCAGAUAUGAAUCUGAGGUGACUUGCCCCAAGACAAAUCCCCUUUGCUUUCUCACCAUUUCCUACCUAACUCCUUUUUGAAAAGGGUGAUCACAUCUGAAUAUUUUAGUUGCAUAAACAGUUUGGUGCAACUUGUCAUAUUUAGGCUCACAUCUCUUUGCUCUGUAUUCUCUUAAGAAAUAAUAAGCAUAAACACA